GGGGAGGAAAAGAAACCAACAGGGAUUCCCUUAGUAAGUGCGACUGAACCGGGAUGAGCCCAGCGCAUAACUUCGUCUGGAUAACCARAAGGACGAGGGGUGUUGCGUUUCAGAGUGUAUCUACCCACACNAUUCACUCACCUGCCUAAAUCCUUCCUUGAAAGGGGAACCUAGGARGGUGUUAGUCCCGUAUGGCAGUUGCCCUCMCCGGGAAUCAAAGUGAAGUGAGACGGACCAAUCUGUAGAGUCGGGUUGCUUGAUAAUGCAGCCCAAAGUAGGUGGUAAACUCCAUCUAAGGCUAAAUAUGACCACGAGACCGAU
rnacentral:rRNA from 1 species